GAGUUUGAUCAUGGCUCAGGAUGAACGCUAGCGGCAGGCUUAACACAUGCAAGUCGAGGGGUAACGGGGAAGCUUGCUUCCGCCGACGACCGGCGCACGGGUGCGUAACGCGUAUACAAUCUACCUUAUACUGGGGUAUAGCCUUUAGAAAUGAAGAUUAACCCCCCAUAGUCUCUUAGAGUGGCAUCACUUCUAGAGUAAAGGUUACGGUAUAAGAUGAGUAUGCGUUCUAUUAGUUUGUUGGUGUGGUAACGGCACACCAAGACUACGAUAGAUAGGGGCCCUGAGAGGGGGAUCCCCCACACUGGUACUGAGACACGGACCAGACUCCUACGGGAGGCAGCAGUGAGGAAUAUUGGACAAUGGAGGCAACUCUGAUCCAGCCAUGCCGCGUGCAGGGAGACUGCCCUAUGGGUUGUAAACUGCUUUUAUACAGGAAGAAACACCUCUACGUGUAGAGGCUUGACGGUACUGUAAGAAUAAGGAUCGGCUAACUCCGUGCCAGCAGCCGCGGUAAUACGGAGGAUCCAAGCGUUAUCCGGAAUCAUUGGGUUUAAAGGGUCCGUAGGUGGAUAAUUAAGUCAGAGGUGAAAUCUUGCAGCUCAACUGUAAAAUUGCCUUUGAAACUGGUUAUCUUGAGUUAUUAUGAAGUAGUUAGAAUAUGUAGUGUAGCGGUGAAAUGCAUAGAUAUUACAUAGAAUACCAAUUGCGAAGGCAGAUUACUAAUAAUCAACUGACACUGAUGGACGAAAGCGUGGGUAGCGAACAGGAUUAGAUACCCUGGUAGUCCACGCCGUAAACGAUGGUUACUAGCUGUUUGGACUUCGGUCUGAGUGGCUAAGCGAAAGUGAUAAGUAACCCACCUGGGGAGUACGUUCGCAAGAAUGAAACUCAAAGGAAUUGACGGGGGCCCGCACAAGCGGUGGAGCAUGUGGUUUAAUUCGAUGAUACGCGAGGAACCUUACCAGGGCUUAAAUGUAAGUUGCAUUAGUUAGAGAUAGCUAUUUCUUCGGACCACUUACAAGGUGCUGCAUGGUUGUCGUCAGCUCGUGCCGUGAGGUGUCAGGUUAAGUCCUAUAACGAGCGCAACCCCUGUUGUUAGUUGCCAGCGAGUCAUGUCGGGAACUCUAGCAAGACUGCCAGUGCAAACUGUGAGGAAGGUGGGGAUGACGUCAAAUCAUCACGGCCCUUACGUCCUGGGCUACACACGUGCUACAAUGGUAGGUACAGAGAGCAGCCACUGCGCGAGCAGGAGCGAAUCUAUAAAACCUAUCACAGUUCGGAUCGGAGUCUGCAACUCGACUCCGUGAAGCUGGAAUCGCUAGUAAUCGGAUAUCAGCCAUGAUCCGGUGAAUACGUUCCCGGGCCUUGUACACACCGCCCGUCAAGCCAUGGAAGUUGGAAGUGCCUGAAGUCCGUCACCGUAAGGAGCGGCCUAGGGUAAAGUCGAUAACUAGGGCUAAGUCGUAACAAGGUAACC
rnacentral:rRNA from 1 species